UACGUAGGUGGCAAGCGCUGUCCGGAUUUAUUGGGUUUAAAGGGUGCGUAGGCGGUCUAUUAAGUCAGUGGUGAAAUACUCCAGCUUAACUGGAGGGGUGCCAUUGAUACUGAUGGACUUGAGUCAAGUCGAGGUAGGCGGAAUUGACGGUGUAGCGGUGAAAUGCUUAGAUAUCGUCAAGAACACCAAUAGUGAAGACAGCUUACUGGGCUUAAACUGACGCUGAGGCACGAAAGUGUGGGGAUCAAACAGG
rnacentral:rRNA from 1 species